ensembl:lncRNA
CUUCAGUGUCCAUGCUCACUCCACCAUGUGUCUAUCAGAGAGAGCAAACACUGGUGUCUUUUCCUGGGCGUGACCUGCAGCCAAGGAAGCCUGCCAAGAGGCAACCCUUAAGGCUUUCCGUUGUGAAUGCAAAGGAGCCUGGAGCUCUUCAUGCUGGGUCCAACAGAGGGUACCUGGCUCUCCAAAACGAUCGCCCACUGGUUUAGACAGUGUUCAGUUCUGCCAGCUCCUGAUUCGAAGAUGCAUAACCAAUGCCUCCGCUAAUUCAAGUGGUCAGCCCUGGUGACGUCACUCCCUCUGUUCGCGCUUGCAGCCAUUUAUGCUAACAAUUCUGAUCCUGGAAGAUACUCUGCAUGGUCCCAGAAGAGAAAUAUUCAUCAUUGUCACCCAGCUACAAACCCUGCAGCCUAUGACAGUCACCUGCCUGCAGAUACACUGGAGCAAUAGUGACACAAAUGUUAUGGGAGUCACCAACCACUUUCUGAUUGGAUUUAAGGCCUGAUUGGAUUGGAGAUGGAACCCAUAAUGGACGCUGUUAAAAUGGCUAAGAACCUGAGAGUGGGGAGGUCAUGAGCCUAGGGGAAAAACCUACCACUGUGAUCCUGCUAAAGAAGUGCAGCAGGUAAAGGACUCCUGGGGACCUACUUCUAAACCCAGAGGUCAGAUCAGGACUGAUACACACAUCAAAGCCUACAGACUGUGGCAGCUCAC